rnacentral:rRNA from 1 species
CCCUUAGAUGUUCUGGGCCGCACGCGUGCUACACUGAGUGGAUCAGCGGGUCAGGUUGCGCGAAAGUGUUUCCUAAUCUUGAAAUCCGCUCGUGAUGGGGAUUGACGGUUGCAAUUUUCCGUCAUGAACGAGGAAUACCUUGUAAGCGCGGGUCAUCAUCCCGCGCUGAAUACGUCCCUGCCCUUUGUACACAUCGCCCGUCGCUCCUACCGAUUGAGUGGUCCGGUGAGGCUUUGGGAUCUGAGCAAAGAGAGCGUUUCGCUCGUUUUGCCCGGAAAACUCAGUCGAACCUUAUCAUUUAGAGGAAGGAGAAGUCGUAACA